rnacentral:tRNA from 1 species
ACUAAAUUGGCAGAUUAAUGUAGUGAAUUUAGAAUUCAUUAAUAUGAAUUUAUAUUCAUAUUUAGUA